CUGGUUGAUCCUGCCAGUAGGAAAGCRUGUCUCAAAGACUAAGCCAUGCAUGUCUAAGUAUAAAUGUUAUACAGUGAAACUGCGAAUGGCUGAGAAAGCGGKUAUAGUUUAUUUGAUAAUCGAAUUUACAUGGAUAACCGUGGUAAUUCUAGAGCUAAUACAUGCUGUUAAGCCUGACCCUGAGGAAGGGCUGUAUUUAUUAGAUAACAAACCAAUAUUCCUUGUGUCUAUUGUGACGACUCAUAAUAACUGAUCGAAUCGCAUGGGCUUUGCCCGCGAUACAUCAUUCAAGUUUCUGCCCCAUCAGCUUUCGAUGGUAGUGUAUUGGACUACCAUGGCUUUCACGGGUAACGGAGGAUUAGGGUUCGAUUCCGGAGAGGGAGCCUGAGAAACGGCUACCACAUCUAAGGAAGGCAGCAGGCGCGUAAAUUACCCAAUCCUGACUCAGGGAGGUAGUGACAAGAAAUAACGGACCGAAGCCUAUGUUUCGGGAUUGCAAUGAGUAGAAUUUAAACCCCUUUACGAGGAUCAAUUGGAGGGCAAGUCUGGU
rnacentral:rRNA from 1 species